rnacentral:lncRNA from 1 species
GUUUACAGACUGGAACCACUGACAGAAAAACAAAAAGAUGUUGACCGAAGAUUUGUUACUUACAAGUCUCGUGAAUGCAAGUGGGAUUCCAGGUUAAUUCUACCAAAGAACCCCUGGCCACCCAAAUCUGCCUCAUUUACGAGACACAAAAGGCGGCGUGGUGCCUACACUGCAUUCUUAGAUCGUGUGGAAGAAAGGUUAAGUAACAUCUGGCAACAUGGUGAAGCCUUUGAGGACGAUAUUGGAGAGGAGAAUUUUGUUCUUCUUUUUGAGCUAGUUUGGUGCAUGUCUGGAGUAACUCCAUAAGAGGAAAGGAUUGUUGUGGGAGAUAUCUUUUGUUGGACGAACUGCAUGGUUGGGAUAGACUUAGGCAGGCGUUCAUAUGCAAAGCAUUCUUCAUCAGGUCUGGGGUGAACUCCAGUUAUUUCAAUGCCCAUAGCAGCGUAACAGAGAGAAACUGGACUGCAUGUCUUUUUGUAUUUUGUCAAAGGUCACACCUUUUACAUAUUUACUCAAUAUAAAGCAAACUGUCAGGGCCAACCAGUAUGCAAAACUAAAAGGAAAAUGGAAGCAUAUGUAAUCUUUGUGGUUUAAAACUGGACUGUAAAGUGCAGCGAAUUUGUGGUGAAAGACAAGUCAACCAAACAGAAUGGAACUCUGUAAACCCUUGAACGAACUCUGUUACAGUUUGUUUUUUUGAUUCGUCAAAUAUUACUAUUUUUCACUAUUUA